UACGAAGGGGGCUAGCGUUGCUCGGAAUCACUGGGCGUAAAGCGCACGUAGGCGGAUUGUUAAGUCAGGGGUGAAAUCCCGGGGCUCAACCUCGGAACUGCCUUUGAUACUGCAAAUCUCGAGUCCGGAAGAGGUGAGUGGAAUUCCUAGUGUAGAGGUGAAAUUCGUAGAUAUUAGGAAGAACACCAGUGGCGAAGGCGGCUCACUGGUCCGGUACUGACGCUGAGGUGCGAAAGCGUGGGGAGCAAACA
rnacentral:rRNA from 1 species